GCCAGCAGCAAGGAAGUGUUUGGGGCCAACCAGGUAGCAAACACCAUCCAAACAGGUUCUUACUGACUGGGAGGCAGAGAGGAGCACACAAGCCCCAUCAUGGUGCUGGUGAUGGUGGUGAUGAUAGGCAAGGCUGGGGUUGAAAGUCCCGCACCGUGAGUCAGAGGGAUGGGGAGAAUCUGCCCCAAGCAGCUGCAGCCCUCAGACACAUGUGGGCUGAGUGUUUCUUGAUUGCAGAUAAUUCAAUUCAUGUGGGGACGAAGGGGAAAAACAAUAAGAAGAGAGUUUCAGAAAGGCCUAGGUUGUUGUGCUCUGGUCUUGUAGCUGGUGGCCUGGGAGAUGGUUUGGGUGGUAGGUGCUGGAAGCUAAGGCCACUUCUAGAAUCUCAACGACAGUGGCAGAAUACAAAUCAACCCACCCCAUGCACAGACGGCUGGGAUCCUUUGAGGCUCUUGUUUUAUGGAUGAAAUAAAUCCAGCCAAUGGGGAAUGGAAGGCUCUCUCUCCUCCUGAAGACACAGGUUUGCAUGUGCUACAGACAAAACCAGCAUCUAUUCCUCUCCUGAAGGAUUCUGUGUCUUCAUGAGAAUGUAAAAACAUAGUGAGCACCGGACUGGAGAGAUGAGCCCAUGUCCCCACUGCCAUCUCCUGAUCUGUGGGAAUGGCAGUGCAAAGCUAUUCCCCACGCUACGCUAUGCAUUGCAAGAAAGAGACAGCUAUCAGCUGAACAUAGUAGCAAGAGCUGGAAUUUGAUGGAAAAGAUACCUAGAAUGUUCCCUUUUGUGUUCCUUUUAAUUGGAUGUUAGUGGGAUGACUUUUCACGCUAGUGGCCUUUGCUAGAAUAUAUUGGUCUGCAAGGUGGUGUCAAGAAAUUGGCUGCUAUAAUGAUAUCACUCAUAAGCUCCCAGCCUUUAAAUUUCCAUCAUAUCGCUAUCCCAGGGCAGCUGGGAUUCUUGGGCCUCCCAAAACAUGUUGUGUCCAGAGGGUGAUUUCUCCAUAUAGCUGAGCCCCAGUGUAAACUGAGGGGCACUUCUCAGACUGGUGAUGAAAUUCUUAAUUACGCAGCAUCAAAUGCAGCAGUUCUAGGGAGAAGCAAAUUCACUUUCAUAUUAUGCACAUACAUCAAAACCACCCUGUUUCUGAGACAAAUGCCCAAUCAAUCCAAUCUAUUUUGCCAUCUACAGCAGACGCUGCAUCAAGCUGUUUUAUCAGUUUUAAUUUGUCUUUCCUCGCUGUA
rnacentral:lncRNA from 1 species